GUAGGGUAUGCUUCAAGGCUGCACUGGGGUAAUCUAGUCGAGAGUAGACUCAUCUGGGGUACUUCGUUCGCGUAUAGCUCGCUCGGGGAACAGCGGUGCGUGUCAACGCGAGCUGGGUUGUUCAUUGGUUUGUGGGUCUUGAUUCGAACGAAUUGUCGGGUUUAUUGGAGGUAGCGCGUGCUGGGUUGUACACUGGUUUGUGCGUCCUUAUUCGAACGAGGUUUCGGGUUUAUUGGAGGUAGCGCGUCGUGCCUAGGGCAUCUUGGAUGCGUCACGUGCCCCGUGUGUGUACAUCUGUUUGUCCAGGGACUCGUUGCUUAGUGCGGUAUCCGGCAGCGUCGUUAUUGCGGAGGUACCAAGGGCUUCAGCUUUCCUACACGAGAUCAAGUUUUAUCAGACGAUGUAUGCGUGCAGGUGAAAGCGAGCGAAGAUGGGUAUCGUGAGCGCUGCCUUAUCCGUACGUGCGCAGUGGCGUGCCUGCCUGUUUCUCUGUCCAGUGUCGAGUGCCUAUAUGCAGUCGUUGAGGACGCCUACGCUGCAUUGGGAACGGAGACUCUAGCAGCUUGCCCGAAUGAAGCACGUCGACAGCGGCUCGAUUCGGCACAAGAGCGUUUCCAAAGGCGAUCGAAAGCCAACAAUGGCUGUUGCCGCACUUUCGCAGACAUCCGCAGAAUACGCGCAUAGUGAAGAUACACCUCACCUGAAUCUGCUGGACGGCAUGCUAUUGGUUCCAUAGCGCAGCGACUGAGUCGUAAGCGCAUGGAAGACAACAGACGCGAUGCUGCUCAUUCUGAGACAACGGAUCUGCCCUGCAUAGACGCAGUUGCAGCAGGCGAAAGGACGCAGGAAUUCGGGAUACCGCCCUGAUCCCAAAAGCGCGGACCGGAACAUCCACGUUUUCGUUCGACAACGGAAACGAAACACUCCAUUGCUCUCUCUCUCCAUUUACCCUCAUAUAUAAUGGAACGGAUUCUGAACGUAUCGCCUAGCGCGCACCGUCAUUGAUGAUCCCCGCACACUAGCGGAAACACACAAGCAUUCUGGCGAGCGCUGAUCGACGUCGGUUGCUCGCCCGUUUCGGGAUUCUCUCGGACGGUAGUUUUUCGAACGGCUCCUCAUCCCAGCGGCCUGAAUCGUUGCUCGAUGCAACGAUAUCUCCCACAGAAAAUGCGCUUGCAUCGGACUGCGCAGCAGGCGAGACGCUCGGCAGCGACAUAUUCUCGAUCGCUUCGAUGCCCGGGAAGUUAUUCUUGACAACCCGAUCCGGAAGUGAAAUUGUCGUUGCGGGCCUAGUCUUGGUCAAAUGCUCCGUGUCCGUCGCUGCGGUCUGUUGGUGCUCGUGUGCGUUCUCCGUCGCGGCGCCGGUACCAGCGGACCAGUCGCUGACACUAGCGACUGUGGCGGCACUAACGGGCGACGUCGGCGCUGCUGGUGGCGCACGCACGCUCAGCGCCUGGCGUAUCGACCAGCGUCUCGUUUUCGGUACUUGUCGGUACUGGUGAUUCUUGGGCGAGGUUUUCGCUCGAGGCGGGGAUACCUGUGUCUCGGGCUCUGUCUGGGGCGACGGCUCGACACGAGCCGCAUCUGCCACGUCCGCAGCUGUUUUCGGUGACUCGCCAUAAAUAGCCUUCUCGU
rnacentral:misc_RNA from 1 species